UCACAUACCUGGCAGAGGGAUACCAUGGCCAUGAAGGUGGUUUUCCAAGGAUAAGUUUCUUCCAUGGCGCUAGAGAUGCAUUGACGAUCCUUAUGAUUUUUCACAAAUAGAGGAAACUUGACAAAAUAAUUUGUAGUAAUGGAGGACUGUAUUUGCCUUUUCCCCUA
rnacentral:snRNA from 1 species